UAGGGAAUAUUGGGCAAUGGAGGGAACUCUGACCCAGCCAUGCCGCGUGCAGGAUGAAGGCGUUAUGCGUUGUAAACUGCUUCUAUAUAGGAAGAAAUAGUCCUUGCGAGGAAAGUUGACGGUACUAUAUGAAUAAGCACCGGCUAACUCCGUGCCAGCAGCCGCGGUAAUACGGAGGGUGCAAGCGUUGUCCGGAUUUAUUGGGUUUAAAGGGUGCGUAGGCGGUUUAUUAAGUCAGUGGUGAAAGACGGUCGCUCAACGAUUGCAGUGCCAUUAAUACUGGUAGACUUGAGUAUGAUUGAGGUAGCUGGAAUGGAUAGUGUAGCGGUGAAAUGCAUAGAUAUUAUCCAGAACACCAAUUGCGUAGGCAAGUUACUAAGUCAUAACUGACGCUGAGGCACGAAAGCCAGGGGAGCAAACGGGAUUAGAUACCCAAGUAGUCCCUGAGCGGGCUGGCAAGGCGCAU
rnacentral:rRNA from 1 species